rnacentral:RNase_P_RNA from 1 species
CAGGGGGCUGAGGCAGCCGCGUUUCCCCAAGGGAUGCGAGGAAAGUCCGGGCUCCACGAAACAAGGGUGGCGGGUAACGCCCGCCGGGCUUCGGUGUUCGCGCCGGAGUUCAGGGAAAGUGCCACAGAGAGUAUACCGCCGAUGGAGCCUAAAGCUCACAGGCAAGGGUGAAAGGGUGCGGUAAAAGCGCACCGGGGCGCUGGUAACAGGGUCCGCAUGGCAAACCCCACCCGGAGCAAGGCCAAAUAGGGGCCUCGCGCGUCCGCAAGGGCGCAGGCGUGUUUCGCGCCGAGAGGCCCGGGUUGGCUGCUAGAGCCGUCUGGCAACAGGCGGUCCAGAUGAAUGGCUGCCGCCGCAGCGCUGGUGCGAAAGCAUACCGGUUGCGGAGACAGAACCCGGCUUAUGAUGCCCCCUGAUAC